rnacentral:rRNA from 1 species
UACGGGGGGGGCAAGCGUUGUUCGGAAUUACUGGGCGUAAAGGGCUCGUAGGCGGCCAACUAAGUCAGACGUGAAAUCCCCAGGCUCAACCUGGGAACUGCGUCUGAUACUGGAUGGCUUGAAUCCGGGAGAGGGAUGCAGAAUUCCAGGUGUAGCGGUGAAAUGCGUAGAUAUCUGGAGGAAUACCGGUGGCGAAGGCGGCAUCCUGGACCGGCAUUAACGCUGAGGAGCGAAAGCUAGGGGAGCAAACGGG